rnacentral:rRNA from 1 species
UGGGGAAUAUUGCACAAUGGGCGAAAGCCUGAUGCAGCGACGCCGCGUGAGGGAUGACGGCCUUCGGGUUGUAAACCUCUUUCAGUAGGGACGAAGCGCAAGUGACGGUACCUGCAGAAGAAGCACCGGCUAACUACGUGCCAGCAGCCGCGGUAAUACGUAGGGUGCGAGCGUUGUCCGGAAUUACUGGGCGUAAAGAGCUCGUAGGCGGUUUGUCACGUCGUCUGUGAAAUCCUAGGGCUUAACCCUGGACGUGCAGGCGAUACGGGCUGACUUGAGUACUACAUGGGAGACUGGAAUUUCUGGUGUAGCGGUGGAAUGCACAGAUAUCAGGAAGAACACCGAUGGCGAAGGCAGGUCUCUGGGUAGUAACUGACGCUGAGGAGCGAAAGCAUGGGUAGCGAACAGG